UACAGAGGGUGCAAGCGUUGUUCGGAAUUAUUGGGCGUAAAGCGCGUGUAGGCGGCUUUGCAAGUCGGGUGUGAAAGCCCUCAGCUCAACUGAGGAAGUGCGCCCGAAACUGCAGAGCUUGAGUGCAGAAGGGGCAAUCGGAAUUCUUGGUGUAGCGGUGAAAUGCGUAGAUAUCAAGAGGAACACCUGAGGUGAAGACGGGUUGCUGGGCUGACACUGACGCUGAGGCGCGAAAGCCAGGGGAGCAAACGGG
rnacentral:rRNA from 1 species